rnacentral:tRNA from 1 species
GGGCGGUUAGCUCAGCUGGUUUAGAGCGUCUCGUUUACACCGAGAGGGUCGUGGGUUCGAAUCCUACACCGCCCA